rnacentral:rRNA from 1 species
GACGAACGCUGGCGGCGUGCCUAAUACAUGCAAGUCGAGCGAAGUUUUUCUGGUGCUUGCCCUAGAAAUACUUAGCGGCGAACGGGUGAGUAACACGUAAAGAACCUGCCUCAUAGACUGGGACAACUAUUGGAAACGAUAGCUAAUACCGGAUAACAGUAUUUCUCGCAUGAGAGAUAUUUAAAAGUUGGUUAUGCUAACACUAUGAGAUGGCUUUGCGGUGCAUUAGCUAGUUGGUGGGGUAAAGGCCCACCAAGGCGACGAUGCAUAGCCGACCUGAGAGGGUGAUCGGCCACACUGGGACUGAGACACGGCCCAGACUCCUACGGGAGGCAGCAGUAGGGAAUCUUCCGCAAUGGGCGAAAGCCUGACGGAGCAACGCCGCGUGAGUGAAGAAGGAUUUCGGUUCGUAAAGCUCUGUUGUUAGGGAAGAAUGGAUAUGUAGUAACUAUACAUGUAAGAGACGGUACCUAACCAGAAAGCCACGGCUAACUACGUG